UCAAGCUAAUAAGAGCGCAGGGUGGAUGCCUUGGCACUAAGAGCCGAUGAAAGACGUGAUAAGCUGCGAAAAGCUUCGGGGAGGAGCAAAUAUCCUUUGAUCCGGAGAUAUCUGAAUGGGGAAACCCGGCUGAGUAACCCUCAGUCACCAUAACGUAAAUACAUAGCGUUAUGGAGGGAACCCGGUGAACUGAAACAUCUAAGUAGCCGGAGGAAGAGAAAGAAACAUCGAUUCCGGAAGUAGCGGCGAGCGAACCCGGAAGAGCCCAAACCAGUGUGCGUGCAUGCUGGGGUUAAGGACUGCAUAAGUGAGCCGAUCUGUUAAUGGAACUGCCUGGGAAGGCAGGCCAGAGAGGGUGAAAGCCCCGUACAUGAAAACGGUAGGCAGCGGCAGGAUCCAGAGUACCGCGAGACACGAGAAACCUUGCGGGAAGUCGGAGGGACCACCCUCCAAGGCUAAAUACUCCUUAGUGACCGAUAGCGCAUAGUACUGUGAAGGAAAGGUGAAAAGGACCCCGGGAGGGGAGUGAAAGAGAACCUGAAACCCUGUGUUUACAAGCUGUGGGAGCACGUUAAGGUGCAACCGCGUACUUUUUGUAGAACGGUCCGGCGAGUUGCCGGUGCUGGCAAGGUUAAAUGGUACAGCCAUGGAGCCGAAGGGAAACCAAGUCUCAAAUGGGCGUAAAGUCAGCACAGGCAGACCCGAAACCGGGUGACCUAUCCAUGUCCAGGAUGAAGCGGAAGUAAAAUUCCGUGGAGGUCCGGAUCCACAUCCGUUGAAAAGGGUGGGAAUGAGGUGUGGAUAGGGGAGAAAUUCCAAUCGAACCCGGAGAUAGCUGGUUCUCCUCGAAAUAGCUUUAGGGCUAGCCCCGUAUUAGUUUAGCGGAGGUAGAGCACUGAAUUCCUAAGGGGGCGUCAAAGCUUACCAAGGGAUAUCAAACUCCGAAUGCCGCAUAAAUGAUGUACGGGAGUCAGACUGCACGAGAUAAGUUGGGCAGUCAAAAGGGAAAGAGCCCAGACCUACAGCUAAGGUCCCAAAGUGUGUGUUAAGUGGAAAAGGAUGUGGGAUUUCAGAGACAACUAGGAUGUUGGCUUAGAAGCAGCCACACAUUCAAAGAGUGCGUAAUAGCUCACUAGUCGAGAGGUCCUGCGCCGAAAAUGUCCGGGGCUAAAACACAACACCGAAGCUUAGGAAUGUAGAAAUACAUUGGUAGAGGAGCAUUCUUAAAGGAAUGAAGCAGUACCGGUAAGGAGCUGUGGACUUUUAAGAAGAGAGAAUGCCGGAAUGAGUAGCGAGAUGGAGGUGGGAAUCCUCCAGGCCGAAUAUCCAAGGUUUCCAGAGUAAAGCUGAUCUGCUCUGGGUAAGUCGGGGCCUAAGGUAAGGCUGAGAAGCGUAGCCGAUGGACAACAGGUUGAGAUUCCUGUACCGCGUAUCAUCAGAACUGUGGGGACACAGAAGGACAGCACAUCCCGGGAAUGGAAAGACCGGGGCAAGCAGGGUAGGAGUUAAGCUGGCAAAUCCGCUUAACAAUCCGAAGCUGUGAUGCGGAGCGAAUUUAAGUAGCGAAGUGUGCGAUUCCGGCUGUCAAGAAAAGCCGCUAUUGUGUGAUACGUGCCCGUACCGUAAACCGACACAGGUAGAUGAGGAGAGAAUCCUAAGGCCGGCGGGAGAAGCAUUGUUAAGGAACUCGGCAAAAUGACCCUGUAACUUCGGGAGAAAGGGUGCCUGGGAAACCAGGCCGCAGAGAAUAGGCUCAAGCAACUGUUUAGCAAAAACACAGGUCUAUGCAAAACCGUAAGGUGAGGUAUAUGGGCUGACGCCUGCCCGGUGCUGGAAGGUUAAGAGGAGGGGUUAGCGCAAGCGAAGCUCUGAAUUGAAGCCCCAGUAAACGGCGGCCGUAACUAUAACGGUCCUAAGGUAGCGAAAUUCCUUGUCGGGUAAGUUCC
rnacentral:rRNA from 1 species